AUUGAACGCUGGCGGCAUGCUUUACACAUGCAAGUCGAACGGCCGCGCGGGCUUCUGCCUGGUGUCGCGUGGCGAACGGGUGAGUAAUUCAUCGGAAAGUGCCCAGUCGUGGGGGAUAGCCCGGCUAAAGCCGGAUUAAUACCGCAUACGACCUGAUGGUGAAAGCGGUGGUCCUAAAGGCCUCGCGCUCUUUGAUCUGCCUAUGUCGUAUUAGCUAGUUGGUGGGGUAAAGGCUUACCAAGGCGACGAUCCGUAGCUGGUCUGAGAGGCCGACCAGCCACACUGGAACUGAGACACGGCCCAGACUCCUACGGGAGGCAGCAGUGGGGAAUUUUGGGCAAUGGGGGCAAGCCUGAUCGAGCAAUGCCGCGUGAGGGAGGAAGGCCUUCGGGUUGUAAAACGCUGUUGUUAGGGAAGAAAACAUGUGGGAUAAAACCCCGGGGGGAUGACGGUACCGGAAGAAUAAGCAACGGCUAACUACGUG
rnacentral:rRNA from 1 species